ACAGAUCUUGGUGGUAGUAGCAAAUAAUCGAAUGAGACCUUGGAGGACUGAAGUGGAGAAGGGUUUCGUGUGAACAGUGGUUGAUCACGAGUUAGUCGGUCCUAAGUUCAUGGUGAAAACUAAGAAAUGUUAAGUUAUAAUAAUAUAUAAUAUAAACUUAAUCAUUUUUGAACGAAAGGGAAUACGGUUCCAAUUCCGUAACCUGUUAAGUAUACGUUUGUUAUUAAAAAUGGGCUUUAAUGCUCAUCCUGGCAACAGAAACAACCAUAAAGAAAUCGUCGAGAGAUAUCGGAAGAGUUUUCUUUUCUGUUUUAUAAUCGUACCACCAUGGAAGUCUUUCGAAGAAAAAUAUGGUGGAUGGACUAGAAGAGCAUGGCAUUUAUUGCUGUGUCGAUAUUUUCUCCUCGGGCCUUGAAAAUUUAUGGUAGGGUUACGCAAACCUCUUAACAGGCCGUACCGAUAUCCGCAGCUGGUCUCCAAGGUGAAGAGUCUCUAGUCGAUAGAAAAAUGGUAAAGGAAUCGGCAAAUUACAUCCGUAACUUCGGAUAAGGAUUGGCUCUGAAGAUUGAGAUAGUCGGGCUUGAUUGGGAAGCAAUAAAAUGGUUUAUGUACUCGUUCUGGGUAAAUUAGGAUUUAUAUGAUUUACAUUGUAUGGUCUGUUCCCCGAUUUAUAUAUUUAUAACGGUUAUCAAUUAACAAUCAAUUCAGAACUGGCACGGACUUGGGGAAUCCGACUGUCUAAUUAAAACAAAGCAUUGUGAUGGCCCUAACGGGUGUUGACACAAUGUGAUUUCUGCCCAGUGCUCUGAAUGUCAAAGUGAAGAAAUUCAAGUAAGCGCGGGUAAACGCGGGAGUAAUUAUGACUCUCUUAAGGUAGCCAAAUGCUCGUCAUCUAAUUAGUGACGCGCAUGAAUGGUUAACGAG
rnacentral:rRNA from 1 species